UAGGGAAUAAUAAAAUAUUAUUUUUAAAUUUGAAGUUUAAUAGUUUUAAUAACUUAAUUCUCU
rnacentral:tRNA from 1 species